GAGGUGGGCAAGUUAGUUGCUCCAAAUACAAGAUAAAGUGAUUGAGUUCUUUUCUCAAGCGGGAGUCGGAGUUUAUCCACUCUUAGAUGCCUCCCACAUUGCCUGUGACUUUACAGAAGCUUGGAGUCUAAAUUAUGUGGCUGCUAUUAGUAACAACUUCAAGACCGAAGACUGUUGGGCUAUUGGCUCCACCGUGGGCACCACUAGGUUUAAACUCAAACAGCCAGAUGAGACCACUCGAACCUUGGCAGUUACCAGUUCAGAGGAGCAGCCUAACCCAGCCACUCCACAGUUGCAAUUUGAGAGCAUCUAGAGGACACCACAUACAUCUUUUCACCCGGUCUCUGCUGCCACAGAUGAAACCUCCUCAAUGCCCCCAAGAAGCCAUCUUGGGCAGGAAAAAGAGAUGCUCCAGAUGGUUUUCUUACAGAGAAACUUCAUUUCAUGCUCGCAGUUGUUUAUUUCCAUGCAUCUAACUCUCAGCCAGGCACUGAAACAGAGCCCCAGCAGCUACUAUUAAUGAGUGUCUGGAAUAUGUUCCUGGCAUUUCACCUACACUCUCUCCAAUCCUUCCAAGAAACUCACAAAGCAGGGCUUUUUCUUGAACUUCUCUUCCUCACAACAGUUAAAUCAUCCAUUUAAAGAUGUCAGACAAGCUCUGUGUUCUAAGAUGCUGGACCCCUGAAUAUGGAGGGCCAACUACACUAGAAACACACAUGCUAGCUGGGAAAGAUGCUGGCUUAAGGGUAA
rnacentral:antisense_RNA from 1 species